CGAGCUCGGCCAAAUCGGGCCAGGACCCAAAUCCGGACGGGCAACCCGGUCCAUUAACACCGCUAACUAAAAUACGCCCACAGUGCGCAGAUUUCGCAUUACACUCUGCCGCUGAUGAGAGAGCUAGAUAGCAGCGACGCCAGGCAAAGUGAGGAGGCCAAGCUCCAAUUCCCGGGCAAAGAAGGGCUCUCGAUUGCUCAAAUCUCAGCCGUCCAUUUUCUCACUCUCUUGAUUUUCUUGUCCGACCGUAAAAAUGGCGUCUUAUUUAUUUAUUUUCCCCCUAAAUUCGGAUGCAGAGUCGAAGCUUCAAAUUGUUGCUGAGGUUUAGCAAAAUCGGUGGGAAGUUGUUUUUCCUUUCCUUUUUAAUUCCUUAUUUCUGUUUGUUUCAGUGUUUUGAGAUGGAACCUGAACUGUACACGUGUCAUGCAUUUACGGAGAUCCAGACCGUCCAUCCCGGGGGGACCUAUAUUGGAUGGAACAAGGGCGGAAGCUCUCACUGCUGGGAUCAUACAUCUCACAAUGUGAAGCAUAUGGAUUUGGACAUGAGGCAUGUUCCCAUCAUGCACAUCCCAUUGCAAGAGAAAUGGAGAGCAUGAGUCCAUGAGGAGAUCCAAGCCAUUGAUCGUGGCAGACGUUAUCAUACAGGAGAAGUCCAGCUUGGAUAGAUAUCAGAUGCAUGACUCAAGCGAUUCGACUUCUUCAACUGGCCAUUGCAUGAGUUGUUGACCGUUCCUGUCAAGCCAUACGGCCCGAGGAAUCGACUGAAUGGAAAAAGAAAAAGAAACGAAGAAAAACCAUGGUAGAAGUCGAGAGCUCAUGAAUAUUCUAGAUUUUCGAUAAUAGCAAGGGACAUUGUCAAUUCCAAUUUUGACCGUAGCAUCAGAAUCAACUUUUAGCACGGGGAGUAGGGCUGUGAGCAAGCAUUGAAGCUAACUCGCCUCGAAAACAGUCGAAGUAUUGAUAGAUACACAAGAUUGGUUGCAUCCAUUUUGGGGUGGUGGUAGUUUCAAUGUUGAGGAAGAUGGAGACGAGAAUGGAAGCGAGAUGAGAAUGCAUCUAAAACUACAUGAAUGAAUGUAUACUUUUAAAAUUUUGUUUAGGCUUUUUUAUUUUGUAAUAUAUUUUUACUUUUGGGACUUAAUAUUAUGGUAUUUAGAUAGUACAUUUGGGACUUUUUUUUUUUGUUUUAAUGUUGUGGCAUGUGGAUAUUUUGGAUUUAGUGUUGCCGACUUUUAAUUUAUAUUUUAUAGCAAAAACUAUAAUAAAUUAAGGUGGGAUUAGGCUUGACUGGACUCAAGGUAAGCUCAUCUCAACUUGAGGUAAAAUUGCCUUGACUUGAUCCAC